AUGAUGAUGUGCUUGCACUGAUGAUUUUGGUCGCUAACGAGUGGCGGACGGGUGAGUAACACGUAGGUAACCUGCCCAGAAGCGGGGGACAACAUUUGGAAACAGAUGCUAAUACCGCAUAACAACGUUGUUCGCAUGAACAACGCUUAAAAGAUGGCUUCUCGCUAUCACUUCUGGAUGGACUGCGGUGCAUUAGCUUGUUGGUGGGGUAAUGGCCUACCAAGGGCGAUGAUGCAUAGCCGAGUUGAGAGACUGAUCGGCCACAAUGGGACUGAGACACGGCCCAUACUCCUACGGGAGGCAGCAGUAGGGAAUCUUCCACAAUGGGCGCAAGCCUGAUGGAGCAACACCGCGUGAGUGAAGAAGGGUUUCGGCUCGUAAAGCUCUGUUGUUAAAGAAGAACACGUAUGAGAGUAACUGUUCAUACGUUGACGGUAUUUAACCAGAAAGUCACGGCUAACUACGUGCCAGCAGCCGCGGUAAUACGUAGGUGGCAAGCGUUAUCCGGAUUUAUUGGGCGUAAAGAGAGUGCAGGCGGUUUUCUAAGUCUGAUGUGAAAGCCUUCGGCUUAACCGGAGAAGUGCAUCGGAAACUGGAUAACUUGAGUGCAGAAGAGGGUAGUGGAACUCCAUGUGUAGCGGUGGAAUGCGUAGAUAUAUGGAAGAACACCAGUGGCGAAGGCGGCUACCUGGUCUGCAACUGACGCUGAGACUCGAAAGCAUGGGUAGCGAACAGGAUUAGAUACCCUGGUAGUCCAUGCCGUAAACGAUGAGUGCUAGGUGUUGGAGGGUUUCCGCCCUUCAGUGCCGGAGCUAACGCAUUAAGCACUCCGCCUGGGGAGUACGACCGCAAGGUUGAAACUCAAAGGAAUUGACGGGGGCCCGCACAAGCGGUGGAGCAUGUGGUUUAAUUCGAAGCUACGCGAAGAACCUUACCAGGUCUUGACAUCUUGCGCCAACCCUAGAGAUAGGGCGUUUCCUUCGGGAACGCAAUGACAGGUGGUGCAUGGUCGUCGUCAGCUCG
rnacentral:rRNA from 2 species